rnacentral:rRNA from 1 species
UUAGAGGAAGUAAAAGUCGUAACAAGGUUUCCGUAGGUGAACCUGCGGAAGGAUCAUUAUUGAAUUUUGAGAGGGGUUGUAGCUGGCGUUCUCGGACGCAUUUUGUGCACGCCCUGAUCAUUAUCCAUCUCACACCUGUGCACACUCUGUAGGUGGGUUACUGGGGCUACUGUCUUUAUUGGUGGUGCUCUGUGGCCUUCCUAUGUUUUUAUACAAACUACUCAGUUUAAAGAAUGUCAAUUGCGUGUAACGCAUUUAUAUACAACUUUCAGCAACGGAUCUCUUGGCUCUCGCAUCGAUGAAGAACGCAGCGAAAUGCGAUAAGUAAUGUGAAUUGCAGAAUUCAGUGAAUCAUCGAAUCUUUGAACGCACCUUGCGCUCCUUGGUAUUCCGAGGAGCAUGCCUGUUUGAGUGUCAUGGAAUUCUCAACUCUAUUUGCUAUUUGUGAAUAGGGCUUGGACUUGGAGGUUUUGAAUGCUGGAUACUACUUUGUAUUCAGCUCCUCUUAAAUGCAUUAGCUCGAGCCUGUUGUGGAUCAGCUUCAGUGUGAUAAUUGUCUACGCUGUUCUGUGAAGCAUUAUUAUAUAUGGGCCUUCGGCUUCUAAUUGUCCUGUACUGGACAACAUCUAUGACCUUUGACCUCAAAUCAGGUAGGGUUACCCGCUGAACUUAAGCAUAUCAAUAAGCGGAGGAAAAGAAACUAACAAGGAUUCCCCUAGUAACUGCGAGUGAAGCGGGAAAAGCUCAAAUUUAAAAUCUGGCGGUCUUUGGCCGUCCGAGUUGUAGUCUGGAGAAGUGCUUUCCGCGCUGGACCGUGUACAAGUCUCUUGGAACAGAGCGUCAUAGAGGGUGAGAAUCCCGUCUUUGACACGGACUACCAGUGCUUUGUGAUGCGCUCUCAAAGAGUCGAGUUGUUUGGGAAUGCAGCUCAAAAUGGGUGGUAAAUUCCAUCUAAAGCUAAAUAUUGGCGAGAGACCGAUAGCGAACAAGUACCGUGAGGGAAAGAUGAAAAGCACUUUGGAAAGAGAGUUAAACAGUACGUGAAAUUGCUGAAAGGGAAACGCUUGAAGUCAGUCGCGUUGGCCAGGACUCAGCCUUGCUUUUUUGCUUGGUGCAUUUUCUGGUUGACGGGCCAGCAUCGAUUUUGACUGUCGGAAAAAGGCUGGGGGAAUGUGGCACCUUCGGGUGUGUUAUAGCUCUCAGUCACAUACGGCAGUUGGGAUCGAGGACCGCAGCACGCCUUUAUGGCCGGGGUUCGCCCACGUUCGUGCUUAGGAUGCUGGCGUAAUGGCUUUAAACGACCCGUCUUGAAACACGGACCAAGGAGUCUAACAUGCCUGCGAGUGUUUGGGUGGAAAACCCGAGCGCGUAAUGAAAGUGAAAGUUGAGAUCCCUGUCGUGGGGAGCAUCGACGCCCGGACCUGAACUUCGGUGAUGGCUCUGCGGUAGAGCAUGUAUGUUGGGACCCGAAAGAUGGUGAACUAUGCCUGAAUAGGGUGAAGCCAGAGGAAACUCUGGUGGAGGCUCGUAGCGAUUCUGACGUGCAAAUCGAUCGUCAAAUUUGGGUAUAGGGGCGAAAGACUAAUCGAACCAUCUAGUAGCUGGUUCCUGCCGAAGUU